CGCGUAGGCGGCUGUCACAGUCAGGCGUGAAAUUCCCGGGCUCAACCUGGGGGCUGCGUUUGAUACGUGAUGGCUUGAGUUCGGAAGAGGGUCGUGGAAUUCCCAGUGUAGAGGUGAAAUUCGUAGAUAUUGGGAAGAACACCGGUGGCGAAGGCGGCGACCUGGUCCGAUACUGACGCUGAGGCGCGAAAGCGUGGGGAGCAAACAGGAUUAGAUACCCUGGUAGUCCACGCCGUAAACGAUGUGCGCUGGAUGUUGGGCGACCUAGUCGCUCAGUGUCGUAGCUAACGCGAUAAGCGCACCGCCUGGGGAGUACGGCCGCAAGGUUGAA
rnacentral:rRNA from 1 species